rnacentral:lncRNA from 1 species
CUUCCUUGGUACUUCCCUAGUAUCUUGGAAAUCAAAAAAACAACAGACCAUAUCAAGAUCAUCGGCUGAAGCCGAGUACAGAGCAUUGGUUUAUACUACAUGUGAAAUAACUUGGUUGACAAUGCUAUUGCAUGAGAUAGAAGUUUACCAGAUACGACGAUCACCGGCUCCACGUAUCUUCACCGAUAGCACAGAAGCAGAGGCGAUCGCUCGAAACCCUAUCUCACACCAACGAACAAAGCAUAUAGAAAUCGAUCUCCACACGGUGAGGGACAAGGUUUUAGCGGGAGAUAUUACACUAAGACACGUCUCCAGUACACAAAAUAUUGGUGAUUUUUUCACUAAACCCUUGGGUGGUCCAGCAUUCAAAAAUUUAAUCCAAAAACUAAGCCUAAUCGAUAUACACACCCAAAAUUCAAACCCAAUUAAUUCACUCAAACACCCUAUUGCACCCACAUAUUCAAAUCAAACCCUGACCGGUUUUGAUUUGAGGGAGGAUAUUAGAGAUACACCCCUACAUUAAAAUAAAUCACACAUAUAACAUUACAACAAAAUUAUAAUUAACACCCUCUUAUUUCAUCACAACUCUUCACAUUCUUU